rnacentral:rRNA from 1 species
AAAGAUCGAAUGGGGAGAUUCAUCGUCAGCACAUUUUGUAUAUGUAUGAGUUUUGAUGUGGGUUACUCUUGUAGUAUUGCCUGUACAUACUUGUACAUUUAUUUGCAAGAUGUUGUCGGCGUGCACUUCUCCCCUAGUAGGACGUCGCGACCCGUUGGGUGUCGGUUUACGGCCCAAGUUGGAGACUUUAAUGUUUAAAAACAUUAAAGACACUUGGUGUUUUCUAACCGGCUGCUCGGCGGUACUCGUACGGUAUUUAGCCGCAUUUAUAUGCGUCCAUAUCCGUCGCAAGCGAGGCUAGUUUCUGGUAGUACGGACCUAGUGCCGUCGCUAGAGCUUUGCCAGCUGUUGGCCGUUACGGUAUUCUAGGACAGGCUAAUAAAAAAUUACCGGUCGGCGAUGCUAUUGCUUUGGGUACUUUCAGGACCCGUCUUGAAACACGGACCAAGGAGUCUAACAUGUGCGCGAGUCAUUGGGAUUUUUUUUAAAUUAAACCUAAAGGCGUAAUGAAAGUAAAGGUCGUCCUUGCGUCGACCGAGGGAGGAUAAGUUAUAUUAAGAUAUUGCUUCGCACUCCCGGGGCGUCUCAUUCUCAUUAUGAGAAGAGGCGCACCUAG